UGGAAUUCCUGGGGAUAUCCUUUGGCACGGAGGUCACCUUGUUCUCCUGGCAGAAGAAGGCCAUCCUGUCUGAGCACUGGCAGAGCGGAUGUUGGCAACCUGAGCAAGUCCCCGAGGGAAGCAGCAACAGCAGGAGGCAGAGGUAAAGAUGGUGAAGGAAUUGCAGGGAACACAUGGCUGAGACUCUAUGAACAGCUUUUUCCUAUCAAACAACUUUUUUGUUCCUGAAAGUUAUUGUUCUUGAAUAAUAAGUGUGGGGGAGGAAGGACAUUUCAAUGGAGAAACAAAUGUACAGUGUUCUCAAUUUUUAUCCCUUCUAGGCAUUUUACAAUAAAGAUUCUGAA
rnacentral:lncRNA from 11 species